rnacentral:rRNA from 1 species
AAACCGUGUACGUACAAGCAGUAGGAGCACCUUCGUGGUGUGACUGCGUACCUUUUGUAUAAUGGGUCAGCGACUUAAUUUUAGUAGCAAGGUUAACCGUUUAGGGGAGCCGUAGGGAAACCGAGUCUUAACUGGGCGUACAGUUGCUAGGAUUAGACCCGAAACCAGGUGAUCUAGCCAUGGGCAGGUUGAAGGUUGAGUAACAUCAACUGGAGGACCGAACCGACUAAUGUUGAAAAAUUAGCGGAUGACUUGUGGCUAGGGGUGAAAGGCCAAUCAAACCUGGAGAUAGCUGGUUCUCCCCGAAAGCUAUUUAGGUAGCGCCUCGGACGAAUACUACUGGGGGUAGAGCACUGUUAAGGCUAGGGGGUCAUCCCGACUUACCAACCCUUUGCAAACUCCGAAUACCAGUAAGUACUAUCCGGGAGACACACGGCGGGUGCUAACGUCCGUCGUGGAGAGGGAAACAACCCAGACCGCCAGCUAAGGUCCCAAAGUAUAGCUAAGUGGGAAACGAUGUGGGAAGGCUCAGACAGCCAGGAUGUUGGCUUAGAAGCAGCCAUCAUUUAAAGAAAGCGUAAUAGCUCACUGGUCGAGUCGGCCUGCGCGGAAGAUGUAACGGGGCUAAGCUAUACACCGAAGCUGCGGCUACGUACCUUAGGGU